rnacentral:misc_RNA from 1 species
AAACCUCAACUCCAUGUUUGGUUAAUCUGAAUAUGGAUGUUGGAUUUGGGUGUUUGUCAAUGAUGAAUUGACUCGCCUUAAAAAUGUAAGCUGGAUUAGUCUUUGUACUGGUUCCCCUAGGCGUAAUAAGUAUUUCGCUUAGGACACAAGUUCGCUUGUGGCUAGGACAUUGACAAUAGUCUGCUUUCUAUACCCCUUACACACUUGUGUGUAUACUUCUGAC